rnacentral:tRNA from 1 species
CAGGGCGUAGUUUAAAAAAAAAUUUAUUGUUUGGGACAGUAGGAUGUUUAUGACCGCUUUGA